GUGGGGAAUUUUGGACAAUGGGCGCAAGCCUGAUCCAGCAAUGCCGCGUGCAGGAAGAAGGCCUUCGGGUUGUAAACUGCUUUUGUACGGAACGAAACGGUCCGGGUUAAUACCCUGGGCUAAUGACGGUACCGUAAGAAUAAGCACCGGCUAACUACGUGCCAGCAGCCGCGGUAAUACGUAGGGUGCAAGCGUUAAUCGGAAUUACUGGGCGUAAAGAGUGCGCAGGCGGUUUUGUAAGACAGGCGUGAAAUCCCCGGGCUCAACCUGGGAAUUGCGCUUGUGACUGCAAGGCUGGAGUGCGGCAGAGGGGGAUGGAAUUCCGCGUGUAGCAGUGAAAUGCGUAGAUAUGCGGAGGAACACCGAUGGCGAAGGCAAUCCCCUGGGCCUGCACUGACGCUCAUGCACGAAAGCGUGGGGAGCAAACAGGAUUAGAAACCCGUGUAGUCC
rnacentral:rRNA from 1 species